rnacentral:rRNA from 1 species
UACGGGGGGGGCAAGCGUUGUUCGGAAUUACUGGGCGUAAAGGGCUCGUAGGUGGCCAACUAAGUCAGACGUGAAAUCCCUCGGCUUAACCGGGGAACUGCGUCUGAUACUGGAUGGCUUGAGUUCGGGAGAGGGAUGCGGAAUUCCAGGUGUAGCGGUGAAAUGCGUAGAUAUCUGGAGGAACACCGGUGGCGAAGGCGGCAUCCUGGACCGAUACUGACACUGAGGAGCGAAAGCGUGGGGAGCAAACAGG